rnacentral:rRNA from 1 species
UACGUAGGGUGCGAGCGUUAAUCGGAAUUACUGGGCGUAAAGUGUGCGCAGGCGGCCGCGCAAGUCGAGUGUGAAAGCCCCGAGCUUUACUUGGGAAUUGCGCUCGAAACUACGUGGCUGGAGUGUGGCAGAGGAAGGUGGAAUUCCACGUGUAGCGGUGAAAUGCGUAGAGAUGUGGAGGAACACCGAUGGCGAAGGCAGCCUUCUGGGCCAACACUGACGCUCAUGCACGAAAGCGUGGGGAGCAAACAGG